rnacentral:rRNA from 1 species
UACGUAGGGUGCAAGCGUUGUUCGGAAUUACUGGGCGUAAAGGGCGCGUAGGUGGCGGCCCAAGUCCAUGGUGAAAGCUCGUCGCUCAACGACGAGUCGGCCACGGAUACUGGGUUGCUCGAGCACUGUAGAGGCAGAUGGAAUUCCGGGUGUAGCGGUGGAAUGCGUAGAGAUCCGGAAGAACACCGGUGGCGAAGGCGGUCUGCUGGGCAGUAGCUGACACUGAGGCGCGACAGCGUGGGGAGCAAACAGG